UAUGUGAUCGUCUCUCGCAUAUCAAUAAGCGGAGGAAAAGAAACUAACAAGGAUUCCCCUAGUAACGGCGAGUGAAGCGGGAAGAGCUCAAAUUUGAAAUCUUAAAGGGUUUCCCUUUACGAGUUGUAGUUUAAAGAAGUGUUUUCUGUUGAGGUUUUGGUAAAAGUUCUUUGGAAUAGGACAUCAUAGAGGGUGAGAAUCCCGUAUUUGACCUUUACUUUCAACUUUGUGAUACACUUUCAAAGAGUCGGAUUGUUUGGGAAUGCAGUCCAAAAUGGGUGGUAAAUUUCAUCUAAAGCUAAAUAUUGGCGAGAGACCGAUAGCGAACAAGUACCGUGAGGGAAAGAUGAAAAGAACUUUGAAAAGAGAGUUAAACAGUACGUGAAAUUGUCAAAAGGGAAGCGUUUGACACCAGUGUUGUUUUUCUGAAAAUCAAUUAAAGAACUGUUUAUGCUAAGUUGUUUAGACUUUAUCAGCUAAUCUGCUUAGUUUUGAGCUUUUCUUUAAUGCACUUUUCAGUUAACAAGUCAACAUCAAUUUCUUUUGCUGUAAAAAAGCUUGAGGAAGGUGGCUUGAGAUUCGUCUUAAGUGUUUAUAGCCUCUUGCCUAUGCAGUCGGAGAGAUUGAGGUCUGCAGCGUAGAUCCUUCGGGGCUAAAUGCAUUUGUGCUAAGUUAUAGCAUUUUAUAGACAACUUGUUGACUAUGAUUUGUCUUGUAGCUUACUCGCUUAUGUUAUUUUACCUACGCUUAGGAUGUUGAGUAGCGACAUACGCAC
rnacentral:rRNA from 1 species